AGAGUUUGAUCCUGGCUCAGGACGAACGCUGGCGGCGUGCCUAACACAUGCAAGUCGAACGGAACUGUUUUGAAAGAUUUCUUCGGAAUGAAUUUGAUUUAGUUUAGUGGCGGACGGGUGAGUAACGCGUGAGUAACCUGCCUUCAAGAGGGGGAUAACAUUCUGAAAAGAAUGCUAAUACCGCAUGAUAUAUCGGAACCACAUGAUUUUGAUAUCAAAGAUUUUAUCGCUUGAAGAUGGACUCGCGUCCGAUUAGUUAGUUGGUGAGGUAACGGCUCACCAAGACCGCGAUCGGUAGCCGGACUGAGAGGUUGAACGGCCACAUUGGGACUGAGACACGGCCCAGACUCCUACGGGAGGCAGCAGUGGGGGAUAUUGCGCAAUGGGGGCAACCCUGACGCAGCAACGCCGCGUGAAGGAUGAAGGUUUUCGGAUUGUAAACUUCUUUUAUUAAGGACGAAAAAUGACGGUACUUAAUGAAUAAGCUCCGGCUAACUACGUGCCAGCAGCCGCGGUAAUACGUAGGGAGCAAGCGUUGUCCGGAUUUACUGGGUGUAAAGGGUGCGUAGGCGGCUUUGCAAGUCAGAUGUGAAAUCUAUGGGCUCAACCCAUAAACUGCAUUUGAAACUGUAGAGCUUGAGUGAAGUAGAGGCAGGCGGAAUUCCCCGUGUAGCGGUGAAAUGCGUAGAGAUGGGGAGGAACACCAGUGGCGAAGGCGGCCUGCUGGGCUUUAACUGACGCUGAGGCACGAAAGCGUGGGUAGCAAACAGGAUUAGAUACCCUGGUAGUCCACGCUGUAAACG
rnacentral:rRNA from 1 species